AACGAACGCUGGCGGCAGGCCUAACACAUGCAAGUCGAGCGAACCCUUCGGGGUUAGCGGCGGACGGGUUAGUAACGCGUGGGAAUAUACCCUUUGGUACGGAAUAGCCUCGGGGAAACUGAGAGUAAUACCGUAUGUGCCCUUCGGGGGAAAGAUUUAUCGCCAAAGGAUUAGCCCGCGUUGGAUUAGAUAGUUGGUGGGGUAAUGGCCUACCAAGUCUACGAUCCAUAGCUGGUUUGAGAGGAUGAUCAGCAACACUGGGACUGAGACACGGCCCAGACUCCUACGGGAGGCAGCAGUGGGGAAUCUUAGACAAUGGGCGCAAGCCUGAUCUAGCCAUGCCGCGUGGACGACGAAGGCCUUAGGGUUGUAAAGUCCUUUCAGAUGGGAAGAUAAUGACGGUACCAUCAGAAGAAGCCCCCGGUCUAACUCCGUG
rnacentral:rRNA from 1 species